UAUAUCCCUCAUUACAUGGACCCUGAAUAUAUCUCGAAUGUUUGAAUUUUAGCAUAUUAUAAAAUAUAUGGCAAAUUGCAUGAAAAUAUAUUAUGUCUAUAAAAUUAUUUAAAUAUUUUAGAAUUUUUCUUCUGGUUUAUUUUUUUUCUUGUGUUUAUAUAAUAAAUUUAGGUUUCCGUUUAGGUUUUAAUUUUUUCCGUGUGCUUUUAAUUUCUGUGUGCAAAUCAAUGAUUUGUUUAAUAUAUCUUAUUUUCAUAUUCUCUUCUUUGAUUACUUAUAUUAGUUAUUAUAUCAUUAUUUUUAGCUAAAUAUAUUCUAUGUUGCUUGUUUUGUGUUGUAUUUUUAUGUCAUUCUUGAAUCUUGAUGGUAUCGAAAUAGUUUUUUUUGGCAAGUAGAUUAUUAUUAGAUUUUAGGUAAUAAUAUUAAACACGUCAUUUUGAAAUAAGAAAAUUGAAAUAUAAAAUUAAUGUCACAUUUUUAAUUAACAUCAAACCCUUAAAUCCAAGAAACCUAUCAACUAAACAUGUAAUAAAGUUGAAAUCCUAAAACCCUUAAUUCAGGGCCGAGCCUCGUUAAAAUCACUUCAAAGCAAAGUGGAAAAAUAGUACUCGUCUAUGCAAAAUCAAAGAGAAAGUUGAAAUCCUAAAUACUGAACAAUCAAAUAACUUCAAAUCCUAUCAACUAAAUCAUGGCUUCUCUUGCUUUAUAACAACUCUCUUCCCCUUUUUCUUCCUACCAGCUGGCCCGUAUUCAUCAAUGAGGCGCUUAUUCAUAGACUCAUCCUCACUUAAGUCUAUUGGUGCCAAUGUUGUGUUUGUCACUGCUGUUGCAUUAGUGUCCUUUUUAGCAGCCUUUGAACUUGCUUCCCCAUCAUCCAUGACAUCUUUUGCCUCAUUUUCGUCUUCUUCAACCUUUAUAUGUGCACCACAAUAUUUUUCAAUCAUGUUUGGCUCACAAUUUAGUUUAGUUACUGUAUAUGCACCAUCAAAUAAUUUGCUUUUUCCUUCCCUCAAAACAGUCUUGAAUAAGGCUGUUUUUCCAGCAAUUGCCUCAAUUUCAAAAGGGAGUUCAUUAUCGUUGGCUUCCUAUAAAAUUUGAGAUAAAUUUAUUAAGUAUCUAUGUGAGUAAAAGAGUAUUAAAAUUUGACCAAAUUAAAUUCGAAUACUUACAUAGCUCAGUUCAGUAGCUAUUUUUCCAAUUAGUUGAAAGCAUUCCCUAUCCCAUAGAGUUAGUGAUGUGGUUCCAGUAUCAUCAGCAACACAAACACGUAAUUUAUACCUGUUAGGCAAUUUGUCAAUUUUUAUAACAAAUAUAAGCUGUAAUAAUAAAGAUAGUAUAAAUUAUUUAAGUUUUUAAAGUAAAUGUACCUUAGUUUUCCUGACACGUCAAAGUUCUCACAGUUGUAGCAAAAAAAAUUGUCAUCAUCCUUCUUCAACUUUUUCAAACAAAUAUUGCAAGCCAAGUAUGCCCAUGCAUUAAUUGUCUCUACAGCUUGUAUUGUCCCAUAAAACCAGAAUGAUCCAAUCUAUUUUGCUUAAUAAUAAUUAGAAAUAGAAUUGACAUAGUAAAUGAUAUUUAAAAUUUUGAAAUUGUCCUAAACGUGAGUUUACCUUUUCAUUUGCUAACUCUGAAAUUGUCUUUAACAUUGAGACCCCAUGAGUGAUCUCGUCUUCUAUGGUUAGGACUGUUGGAGCUUUUGCUAAGUUGAUUGAAAGACUUCUUUCUUUGUUGUAUUGUAGCAAAACUAUACAAUUU
rnacentral:lncRNA from 1 species